GACUCUCGGCAACGGAUAUCUCGGCUCUCGCAUCGAUGAAGAACGUAGCGAAAUGCGAUACUUGGUGUGAAUUGCAGAAUCCCGUGAACCAUCGAGUCUUUGAACGCAAGUUUGCAACCCGGAGAUGGUGUUUUUUCGGAAGCAGUGCUG
rnacentral:rRNA from 1 species